rnacentral:lncRNA from 1 species
GCCUGGCCAGCAUAAGUCCCCUACCCCAUCCCUCAGGAGAGGGCCAGCAGAGGCCUCAGCCCGGACUCACCCAACAAAACAGCUAUUCCAGAUGCCUGGGAUUCACCUGGCUUUGGCUUCUCUCCCACUGCACAUUCUGGCCUGGGUCUAGGUGAGACGGUUACCCUGCUUCCAGGCACGUACCCAUGCUACUCUUGAGCACUUGGUCCUCGGGUGGCAGAGCUGCCUGCCUGCCUGAGUUUCCUCCACAUCCUGUGUGGGGAAGAUUCAGCAAGACCUCCCUGAGCUUUUGGACACGGAAGAGGGAACCUGGUGUCUGGCAUUGGCAAAAGUUAAAGAAACAGAAAUCAGGCUGCCUCAGGCUCAGGAGUCCCCAUCCCACCUCACAGGCUGGCCAGGACACCUGCAUUCUGGAAGGGCAGUGUUCCCCACGCCCUGAUCAGUGA